UCCUUCUUGCUAUGCAUUUGAUAGGACUCAUCAUCAUCACCAUCUUCGGAGCUGCUAGAAAGCUCACUAGAAGAUGUGUUGGGAGCUUUGGCUUCUUCUUUGUCCUUCCUAGCUUGCCUUCUCUUUCUUCUUUCUUCUCUCUCGAGCCUUCUAGCUUCUUUUCUUGCCUUCUUCUCAUCUAAUCGUUGUCGAUCUUUCUUCUUUUCUCUUGCUUCUCUUUUGAGCUUUCUUGCUUCUUUCGUCUUUCUCUUCUCUUCUUCAUUGAGAGCCCUUUCACCAUUGGUAGGCUCGAGAUGAGGAAGUGUGGUAUUGCUUG
rnacentral:lncRNA from 1 species